GGAGGGGUGUCCGAGCGGUUUAAGGAGGCGGUCUUGAAAACCGUUGAACUCUUGCCGGGUUCCGUGGGUUCGAAUCCCACCCUCUCCG
rnacentral:tRNA from 1 species